UACGUAGGGGGCAAGCGUUGUCCGGAAUCAUUGGGCGUAAAGCGCGUGUAGGCGGCCCGGAAAGUCUGGUGUGAAAUCUUGAGGCUCAACCUCAAGCUGUCACUGGAUACUGUCGGGCUUGAGUCCGGAAGAGGAGUGUGGAAUUCCUGGUGUAGCGGUGGAAUGCGCAGAUAUCAGGAGGAACACCAAUGGCGAAGGCAGCACUCUGGUACGUGACUGACGCUGAGACGCGAAAGCGUGGGGAGCAAACAGG
rnacentral:rRNA from 1 species